rnacentral:SRP_RNA from 1 species
GUCAGGCGUGGUGGCUCACGCCUGUAAUCCCAGCACUUUGGGAGGCUGAGGCGGGUGGAUCAACUGAGGUCAGGAAUUUGAGACCUGGCCUCAAAUUCCAGGGUUUCAGCCUGGCCAACAUGGUGAAACCCCGUCUCUA